AUUGAACGCUGGCGGCAUGCUUUACACAUGCAAGUCGAACGGCAGCGCGGGUGCUUGCACCUGGUGGCGAGUGGCGAACGGGUGAGUAAUAUAUCGGAACGUGUCCGGAAGUGGGGGAUAACAUACCGAAAGGUAUGCUAAUACCGCAUAUGCCCUGAGGGGGAAAGGGGGGGAUCGCAAGACCUCUCGCUUUCGGAGUGGCCGAUAUCGGAUUAGCUAGUUGGUGAGGUAAAGGCUUACCAAGGCGACGAUCCGUAGCUGGUCUGAGAGGACGACCAGCCACACUGGGACUGAGACACGGCCCAGACUCCUACGGGAGGCAGCAGUGGGGAAUUUUGGACAAUGGGCGAAAGCCUGAUCCAGCCAUGCCGCGUGAGUGAAGAAGGCCUUCGGGUUGUAAAGCUCUUUCAGCUGGAAAGAAAUCGUACUUAUUAAUACUAGGUGCGGAUGACGGUACCAGCAGAAGAAGCACCGGCUAACUACGUGCCAGCAGCCGCGG
rnacentral:rRNA from 1 species